UACAGAGGUCUCAAGCGUUGUUCGGAAUUACUGGGCGUAAAGGGCGCGUAGGCGGGCCACCAAGUCCGCGGUGAAAUCCCCCGGCUCAACCGGGGAAGUGCCGCGGAUACUGGGGGCCUCGAGGGAGGUAGGGGCGUGCGGAACACUGGGUGGAGCGGUGAAAUGCGUUGAUAUCCAGUGGAACUCCGGUGGCGAAGGCGGCACGCUGGACCUCAUCUGACGCUGAGGCGCGAAAGCCAGGGGAGCAAACGGG
rnacentral:rRNA from 1 species